GGAGGAGGUUCGCUCCCCGGUGGGACGACCGGACUUCAACUCCGAGUAGGGGCUGCCAUGCAGCCCCUGGUGGGUUCGACUCCCACCCUCCUCCGCCA
rnacentral:tRNA from 1 species